AGAGUUUGAUCCUGGCUCAGGACGAACGCUGGCGGCGUGCUUAACACAUGCAAGUCGAACGAGGUCCACUGAGUAGCAAUACAAGGGAAGACCUAGUGGCGAACGGGUGAGUAUCACGUGAGAAACCAACCCCGGUCUCUGGGAUAACAGUUGGAAACGACUGCUAAUACUGGAUGUCGUCGUACCCUCGCAUGGGGGGAUGACGAAAGGGUUACCGGAUCGGGACGGUCUCGCGGCCUAUCAGCUUGUUGGGGAGGUAACGGCUCACCAAGGCUUCGACGGGUAGCUGGUCUGAGAGGAUGAUCAGCCACACUGGGACUGAGACACGGCCCAGACUCCUACGGGAGGCAGCAGUGGGGAAUCUUGCGCAAUGGGCGAAAGCCUGACGCAGCAACGCCGCGUGCGGGAUGAAGGCCUUCGGGUUGUAAACCGCUUUUAACAGGAACGAAAAUGACGGUACCUGUAGAAUAAGGUGCGGCCAACUACGUGCCAGCAGCCGCGGUGACACGUAGGCACCAAGCGUUGUCCGGAUUUAUUGGGCGUAAAGAGCUCGUAGGCGGUUCAGUAAGUCGGGUGUGAAAACUCUGGGCUUAACCCAGAGACGCCACUCGAUACUACUGUGACUAGAGUUCGGUAGGGGAGCGGGGAAUUCCUAGUGUAGCGGUGAAAUGCGCAGAUAUUAGGAGGAACACCGGUGGCGAAGGCGCCGCUCUGGGCCGAUACUGACGCUGNNNNNCGAAAGCGUGGGUAGC
rnacentral:rRNA from 1 species